AGUAAAAGAAAAAUAAAAUAAUAAAACCCUCAAAUCCCACAAAAAAUCGUCAGACCCUCCUUUCUUCUUCUUCGACUUUCGGCUGCUCUAAAAAUGGGGAAUGAUCCCCUACACCUCACUUCACCAAGCUCCACAAUCAAUCAUCAUCAUUGAAUCACCACCAUUCAUCCUCAACAACAAUUAUCGAGCAUCAAAUCAAGGCCAUUCGAUCUUCAUUAAAAUCACGUGUGAAGCUCGUGAAAUGGUUCGGUCAAACCAUGGGUAGGUUCGGCCGAACUAUGAGCUGUUUCGAUCGAACCAUGGGUAUGUCUGACCGAAUUUAUUCAAAUUAGAAAACUUCCAAUGUUUCUGACUCUUUUGGCACUCCGACUGAACUUGUCAAUAGUUUGCCCAAACCAUGUCGAUUCUGCAAUUUGCUCUGAUUUGGGCCUAUAUCUUGCGGCUUUGGCGGUUUGGUGAUUGGUAUCGCCGGGGUGCAGGUGGCGGCUGUAGCGAUGUGGUGGCUAGAGGUUGUGAUUGUAGGUGGUCUAUGGUGUGAGAAAUGGAUUGGUGGGAUUGCGGUGAUGGUGGUGGAGAUUGAUGGUGGUUUCGGUGGCUGGUGUGAAGGUGGAGGUUUUAAUUGUGGAUUUGCAGUCAAUUGGGGCUGCUGUGGUGGCUUAAUUGUUGCAGGUUGUUGCUGUGGCCGGGAAUGGUGGUUGUAAGGUGGUGUGAGAAGUGAUUAAGGACAGCAGCAGGGAGUUAUGCGGCUGGUUUAGUGCGUGAAGGAAGGUGUAGAUGCGGGCAGAGUUGGGUUGCUGCUUGAUGGUGAAAAGGUGCAGCAGACCGUGGCUGGUGGCAAUUUGAAUGGCUCGGCUUGGACCUCAAACUUGAAUCAACACACAAACAAACCCGAGGUGGAUGGAUCGGUCAAUGGAGGUUAUCAACAGGACGUUGGAGGAGUAUCCGAGCUUGUCGCGUGAUACGAGAGCAAUGGCUGAGGCGCUACGAGCUGAUUGGAGGGCGAUGAUGGGGUUGUGAAUUCCCUGUUUAUUAGUUUUUUUUUACUUGUACGCAUUUCGUUUAUUUACUCUACAUUCGGCAUGUAUUUUAAGAAUUGGACUAUUGUUUUUGUGUGGUUUUAGUUGAAACUUUGUUUAAUUCAGAAUUUUAUUUACACUUUACAUAUUUACACUUUA